AUACUGCUGAAGAGUCCCACAAUAGGACGAAACGGCCAUCUAGUGCUUCCAGAAU
rfam:Schistosoma mattheei strain Denwood, Zambia genome assembly, scaffold: SMTD_contig0006171